rnacentral:rRNA from 1 species
CAAUAGCGUAUAUUAAAGUUGUUGCGGUUAAAAAGCUCGUAGUUGGAUCUCGGCAGGCAGGGGGUGGUUCGCUCUUAGCGCUACUGCCCCAUUUGCCUGUGUGAUUGGCGGAGGUUUCGGGGUGCUCUUCGUUGAGUGACCCGGGGCGCCGUCAGGUUUACUUUGAAAAAAUUAGAGUGCUCAAAGCAGGCUUUUCACGCUUGAACAUUCGUGCAUGGAAUAAUGGAAUAGGAACUCGUUUCUAUUUUGUUGGUUUUCGGAAAUCGAGUUAAUGAUUAAUAGGGACAAUUGGGGGCAUUAGUAUUCAGACGACAGAGGUGAAAUUCUUGGACCGUCUGAAGACUAACUACUGCGAAAGCAUUUGCCAAGAGUGUUUUCAUUAA